AGAGCUUCUGCAGGUCAAUGCGAGGAAAAAUAUUCAAAUAUCAAAAGCGGUUUUUUUCGAGCACUUAAAAUUUUGUUCAGCGUGUUUUUCGUCAGUUUUUCAAACACUCAAAUCUUUACUGAUGCUUACCUACUCAUAGUACCUACUGCACGAUGACGGUAAUCCGUGUACCCGGCGAAAUCCGUAUACGGAAAACAUCAGCGCGAAUGUUAAGGACGAUGAUGUGCCCGUACACGUCGUAUAUAAUAUUAUGUAACGACGUUUAAGAAAAGUUUUGUACUCAUCCGGACGCAUCCAGAGGACCGCAGUUAUCCGGUGCCUUAAACAAAGGCUCCGACGAAAUAGAUGUUAUCACGAUAAUGUUAUGCAUCGGCGUAAUUGAUUUAUAACGACUCCACGAGAUUAUAAUAUUAUACUUUUUAUUUGAUAAAUUGAUAACAUUCUUAUUUAUUACGAUAUUUGCGUUUCGUAUCGCG